UGAGAAGGCAAGGGUACCCAGGCAGGUACCUCCCCCCAAAAUUGGCCAAUGUUCUCGGGUACCUAGCCUGAAGGGGUCUGCGGGCCAAAUCCACAAGUGAUGCUCUCUCUAGGAGAGGCCAAAACUUUUCACAACGUUAUGCCUGGGAGGAGGAACGGGUAGCUACUGGGCAUGCACAUUAAUUCUGAUUUGGCCAAAAUUCAAGUAGCUACAUCAGACGGGUACGCUACUUUUGUCCAGAACUAACGCAUGUAGGCCAAACUUUCCCAGUCUGCUCCAGGCACCUGGCAGGACACCCUGGGGCAGGACAGCCCAGCCGAGAGCUCCAGAGAGCUGGGCCAUGGACCUCAUGGAUGCGGACCUUCUCAGGGGCACAGGGUUGGGAACCUACACGGAUGGACACAAACUUACGAGA